rnacentral:rRNA from 1 species
GUGCCAGCCGCCGCGGUAAUACGUAGGUGGCAAGCGUUGUCCGGAAUUAUUGGGCGUAAAGCGCGCGCAGGCGGUCCCUUAAGUCUGAUGUGGAAGCCCACGGCUCAACCGUGGAGGGUCAUUGGAAACUGGGGGACUUGAGUGCAGAAGAGGAAAGUGGAAUUCCAUGUGUAGCGGUGAAAUGCGUAGAGAUGUGGAGGAACACCAGUGGCGAAGGCGACUUUCUGGUCUGUGACUGACGCUGAGGCGCGAAAGCGUGGGGGAGCAAACAGGAUUAGAUACCCUGGUAGUCCACGGCCGUAAACGAUGGGGUGCUAAGUGUUAGGGGGUUUCCGCCCCUUAGGGCUGCAGCUAACGCAUUAAGCACUCCGCCUGGGGAGUACGGCCGCAAGGCUGAAACUCAAAGGGAUUUGACGGGGGCCCGCACAAGCGGUGGGAGCAUGGUGGUUUAAUUCCGAAGCAACGCGAGAGAACCUUACCAGGCCUUGACAUCCCCGCUGACCCGCUUAAGGAAAACUAAGCUUCCCCUUCGGGGACAGCGGUGACAGGUGGUGCAUGGUUGUGCGUCAGCUCGUGACGUGAGAUGUUGGGUUAAGUCCCCGCAACGAGGCGCAACCCCUUUGAAUCUAAGGUGGCAAGCAUUCAGGUUGGGCCACUCUAAGGGUGAACUGCCGGUGACAAACCGAAGAAGGGGGAAUGACGUCAAAUCCAUCAUGCCCCUUAAGACCUGGGCUAACACACGUGCUACAUGGACGGUACAAAGGCUGCCACCCCGCGAGGGAAGCAAUCCAGAAACGUCUCAGUCGGAUUGCAGCUGCACUCGCCUGCAUGAGCGAAUCGCUAGAUCGGAUCAGCAUGCAGUGAUACGUCCGGCCUGGCACACGCCGUCAAGCGAAUCGUAACUUGCAGACUAGUCC